rnacentral:rRNA from 1 species
CCUACGGGAGGCAGCAGUGGGGAAUAUUGGACAAUGGGCGAAAGCCUGAUCCAGCAAUGCCGCGUGAGUGAUGAAGGCCUUAGGGUUGUAAAGCUCUUUUACCAGGGAUGAUAAUGACAGUACCUGGAGAAUAAGCUCCGGCUAACUCCGUGCCAGCAGCCGCGGUAAUACGGAGGGAGCUAGCGUUGUUCGGAAUUACUGGGCGUAAAGCGUACGUAGGCGGUUAUUCAAGUCAGAGGUGAAAGCCUGGAGCUCAACUCCAGAACUGCCUUUGAAACUAGAUAGCUAGAAUCUUGGAGAGGUGAGUGGAAUUCCGAGUGUAGAGGUGAAAUUCGUAGAUAUUCGGAAGAACACCAGUGGCGAAGGCGACUCACUGGACAAGUAUUGACGCUGAGGUACGAAAGCGUGGGGAGCAAACAGGAUUAGAUACCCUGGUAGUCCACGCCGUAAACGAUGAUAACUAGCUGUUCGGGCUCUACGAGCUGUAGUGGCGCAGACUAACGACAUUAAGUUAAGUUACCGUCCGUCGGGGAGGGUACGGGUCCGGCGAAGAAGUUAAAACUUAACUAAAGGUUAAAGUUAGUACGGCGUUGAGACGUUGCCGAACGGACGACCGACGAACGGGGAAGGUUAAGGGAG